rnacentral:lncRNA from 1 species
GUUCACCCAAAGGGUACACCUUGACUUUGUAAUAGUAUCCCUGACUGUUCUGUUAAAUUUCAAAAUGAGAAAACUCUUUUUCGUCUAUUGACAGAUAAUGUGCACCCAAAUUAAGUGUGAGUGGGGGUCUGACUGUAUGUCUAAAGUGUACAGGCAGAGAUGAAUGUGUGUGGCUUUAGCAGAUCCACACUCAUCCAGGGAUAACUGGACCAUGGGGGCAGGGUGGGAGUGGAGAGAAGUCAUCAUAGGAUGGUAAUCAGGUGCUUGCAGGGAGAAGAGAAGGAAAAGCAGAUGAGUGAACAAGGGCAGAUGGUGCUGGAGAAUUCCAUCAAGUGGGCAUCAAGAAGGGACUGGAGGUUAAAACCUUUGGGAUAAAGAAGAAGAAAAAAAGACAAGCUGGUAAAAAGUAAGGUCUGGGGGGUGGAGGCAAGAAGGGGAGUUGCUAAAAACUCUAGAAUAAGCAGUAAGACAUCUUUCAAUAAAACUGCCCCUUCCCAGAUGGCACCUGGGCACUGUUUGCUGGGCACAAACAUGGCACUGUUUCCUAGGAGAUGAUUCCUCCAGUUCUUUAAGGUAGUAAUGAAUGACAACAAGAAGUUACUUCUCUAUGCUACACACGGUGUAGAAUCCAGAGCCUGACUGGCUGUGACGCGCCCAUGGUGACACCAAGGGGACUCUGCAUGGGCACAUCCCGGCCCUCCUCCCUGCAUGUUCUCCAAGCCAGGUCUUUGAAACCUCCAGUGAUGAAGAACCCAGCUUGCUUUGGAACUACAGUCAGCCCUGCAACCCACCCUCACCUUGGACCCUGCUGCUGCUGUCUGUAAAGACAAUGCUGCGAUGAAUACACCUGUGCAUUCUUUUUUAGAACAAGUGUAAGAAUUCCUAUGUGGUAAGUCUGUUUAAAGAGAAUUUCAGAUUCACGUGUAGAUGUGUUAAGUUUGAGCGAUGUUGCCAAACUCUCUUGAACUUAUACCCUCUGUAAUAAUAUAUUGGGAUAUUUGUUUCCUUUUGUUCUUGUCAGUUUUCAUACUAUAAAACUUAAACAUGUUUGACAAUCUGACUGGAAAUGGCUUUGUACUGUUUUAAUUUACUUUUCUUUGCAUUAUGGUAGAUAUCUCUAACUGUCCUCUAGUAUCGACCUUCUUCCUUUUAGUGGUUAAAGACUACAUUUCCCAGCUGCCUUUGCAGCUGGCUGUGGUCAUGUGACUUAGUUCAGGCCAAUGGGAUGAAAGCUUGCCUUGGUCUUCCCCUUUUCCUCUUUCCAGCAGCUGGAAAAGUGCUGACCAGAGCAUUGUUGAAGGCCGUAUAGUAAGAAUGGCAAAGCUUCCCUACCAGCCCAACUGACUGUUUUGUGGUGCAGAGGCCAUCUAUUAUGUGAGAGAGAGCAAUAAAUAUAUAUAUAUAUAUUUUUCUAAGAGACUGGAGUCUCACUAUGUUGCCCAGGCUGGCCUUGAACUCCUGGCCUAAAGCAAUCCUCCCACCUCAGUCUUCCAAGUAGCUGGGACUACAAGUGUGUGCCACCAUGCCCAGCUCUAUAAACGUCUAUUUUUAUUGAGUCCCUAUGUGAGAUCAUUUUCUUGUAGCAGCUUACAUUCUGUACUAAAUUAUACAUGCAAUUUUUCAAAUGUAUUGGACAUUUACACUUUUUCUUCCAUGAUUUGCUUGUUCAAACCAUUUGCUUGUUUUCCAGUUAGGUUUUGCUUUUUACAUAUUUUAAUGGGUAUUCUUCGAAUAUUUUGGAAAUUUCUCCUUUGUUAAAAUGUUAUACCUCCCUCUCCCUCUCCCUCUCCCUCUCCCUCUCCCUCUCCCUCUCCGUCUCCCUCC